rnacentral:pre_miRNA from 1 species
AGUGUACUCCCUCCGUCCGAAAAUACUUGUCAUCAAAAUGGAUAAAAAGAGAUGUAUCUAGAACUAAAAUACAUCAAGAUACAUCCUCUUUUAUCCAUUUUGAUGACAAGUAUUUCCGGACGGAGGGAGUAGUUA